ACACUCAAAUAGAGUUUUACGGUUGCACACUCAUUGCAGGCUGUAAUACCUUGCUCUGCAUUAACCUUUUACAGUGAUAUUUAAUUAAAGGUUUAAAGGGCACCCAACACCUGCACCAUGCUCUGAAUGCAGCCUCCGCCACUAAGUGACGGCACGACGGAGGAGUGUGGCAAUUAGCAUGACCUUAAAACAGGCACGGACGCUCUCUUGCCCAUGCUGUGCAGAGCCUUGCCUGCCCCAUGGCAUGCUGGGGCAAUCGAGAUGGCCCCCAAGCUGACAUGCUCCCCUGCAAAAAGGGAAGAAAGUUUGGAAUGAAUGGAAUGGAAUUGGGAGGAACAACUUCCUCUCAAUCAGUAUGACUUCCGAAAUGCAGUGGGAAUGUCUGAGUGCAGAAUCAACCAAUCAGAAAUUUGCAAAAAGGCAGCAGAAGGUGUCAUCUUCAUUGGACCUGACACACAUGCUACUCAAACCAUGGGAGACAAGAUCAGAGGCAAAUUAAUCGCCAAGAUGCCAAGGUCAGUGUCGUGCCCCCAUACACGUGGGCUGGUCAAGAAGACAGCAAUACAGGAUGAAGUUUAUUUACAUCGCUGUCAACUGUUCCCUGCAUAGCAACAAAGCCAAUGAUUUCCACAUAAGAGCAGUAGGGAGACUCGGGUAGACAGCCCCUCCAGAGCCCGCUGAAGUGAAGCAUUAGUUGGGUAUGUUGGCUGGUCUCGCCCGGCCGCCCCACAGCAGGUUUGAAGCCUCUUCUAUCUUUGCCUCCAUUCAAUAGAAGAGCUGCUCCCCCUGCUGCCUGUCUCAAGCAACAACUUCCUCUUCCCUCACCCCUUUCAAUGGCACCCUUCACAUUUUCUCUCAUUUAAUCCCUAUUUCUUUCUCUCUCUGCAGUGAAACAGUAAGGAUGGUCCUGAUGAUACCCGUUUAGCAGUGGCUGACAUGAGUAGAGGUCUAUCAAGGAGGUCUGUUAAGCUAAUGGCGAGACAGAAACCCAUAUGGGAGGCCUUUUCCUAUGGAUACAGCUGCUGCGUUCCAGCUCUGUAGCUCUACGUUUGUGGGUUCAAUUAACUCAUACUGAUGCUUGCUUAAUUCAAUCUCCUGUUAGAAAUGUUUCAGUGUGCCAACAUAAUAACUGUAAUCACCUUGUCAUCAAGUCCCAUUGAACUCAAUCAUCCGCCUCUGAAAUGCAUUAUUCCCGUGUUUGACAGCCUACAGAGUCUUCAUGUUACUUUGUGUUCAUCUGAUCAUGAUUGAGAGAUUUAAAUGAACUUUUUUUUUAGACCUCUUUGCUGAGGUAGCACGUAUCCCAUGUUAUUUUACAAAUGGUCAGUUGUCAUAAUCUUAAUUUUACUGGCUCAAAGUUUCAAAUUAAGUUGCUCUCUGCUGGUAGGCUUUGCUUUCAGAUGCAUUAAAUUUAUAUGAAUCAACUGUAAAGACAUUUAUAAUGUUGAAAAAUAUUUCUUUAUCAAAUAAAUGCUGUUCUUUUGAACUUUCUAUUCAUCAAAAAUCUUGAAAAAAGGCAUCAUGGUUUCCACAAAAAUAUUAAACAGCACAACUGUUUUCAAAAAUUGAUAAUAAUAAGGAAUGUUUCUUGAGCAGCAUAUUAGAAUGGUUUCUGAAGGAUCAUGUGACACUGAAGACUGGAGUAAUAGCUAAUGGAAAUUCAGCUUUGCUAUCAUAGGAAUAGAUGACAUUUCAAAAUAUAUUAAAAUAGAAAGUUUGUUUGAUGUUUGUUUAUUUAAAAAACAUUAAAAAAAAAUAAUGGGACUCCAAAGUUUUGAACUUCACACAUAUUAAUCAAACUUCACUUGUUCUUGGCUUUGUGUGCUUUGCUUUUAAAAAAAAUGGAGGUGAUGCCUGAUGUGUAUUUAAUUCUUCAAAUAUUCAAUUACACGUUGUGUCAUGUAUAAUAACGGAGCAAGUUAACCUACUGACUGAUGGACACAAUGCUGGAUCUUCUCCUAAUCACUCUUUCGUUCUCUUUAACAGAACCAUGAUGGUACGAUGGCUCUGACAUUCUGUUCAUACCCCCAUCCAUUGAUUGUCUGCACCAUAAGCCCCAAGAGGGAGCUUAUUUGGGCCUGGCUGCAGCAUGCGGGUGUGUUAGGGAGCACAGGGUGGUCCCAUGGACCAGAGAGGGCAGCUAACUGGAGUAAACAGGACUCAGCAGGCUUAGUGUUUGUGUUUACUCUGCUGGAGAGGAGGCCAUUAGAGCAAACAGCCAGCGUUUCUUCACAUGUUGCUGAAAAUCACCCCAACCUUCAUUCACUCCUGUUUGGCACUACUAACACCCAGCCAGUGUGCCCAGAUGGCCCUGCUUUCCAGAUCUCUCACUGUUUCUGCCCUCUCUCCCCUCCCUCAAUGUGCCGUGGCGUCAUUAAAAGUGUCUGUGAGCGGGAGGUGUAAAAAAGGGUGCCGAGAGAGGAAGCAGAAAACAAUUUAGUGGCAUUUAAAAAUAAAGUCCUCCCCCUAUUUACAUGGCCUAUCUAAUCCAAUCUAGGCUGUGUCUGCAUUUUUAAUUUGCACAUUCAAGCAAGCUUCAGAGAGGAACCUAGGCUUAAUUAGUUUAGUUAUCUCCCCUCAUGAAUGGAUAAAGUUCCCACACUGCUGGUGUUUCAGAUGAAGCCUAAUUGGAUUUCGAGGCCAAAAACAAAAGGAGUAAUAAAAGAAAUGAGGGUUAGAUAACAGAGGAAGAUUGAAUUGAUAAAGUGAAAGGGGAAUGAACUGUAGUCACAGCUGAGGAGAGAGACAAGAUGCGGUCGAGAUCCUCGUUUGAGGUCAAAAUCAGUGUAUUAGGGCCAAUGACAUAUGAAGAAAAAUCUUUUUAAAGAAUGAAAAAAAAAUGAAUUGGAAACUCUUAGAAAUGUACUCUUUUCUUAUUAGUUUCAUGUGGUAUAACCAAGUACAAACACUGUGAAGAUGUGCAAAAUAUCUUCUCAAAUAUAUAUGAGUAAUCUUAAUCAUUAUUUCCAAACAAAGUUAGUAUAUAAUAUUAUGUUUAAUAAGUUCAAUAUGUUAUAUUUAACAUAUAAAGUAUUUUUGAAUUUAAAAUUCAUAAAUAUUUAAAUUUUUGGAUAAUCUCCCUGCAUGAUAUUGUACACUUGAUCUCACACUACCUUUCUAAUAUUUAAUCAUAAAUUACUUGUAUAAAUAUUUUAGUUUUUCUUAUUUUUCUGAAUUUUUGUCUUUUAAUUGGCCUUUAUCUUCAUUAUAUCAGGACAGUUGUAUGUGAUGUUUUCUAUGUUUUAUAUAUUACUGAAACAUUUUGCAUUUUAAAUGACACAAAAUUUACAACACCCCCUCAAGACCCCUCCAGGGGUUUCAGUGCAAUUUGCCAGAAAUGGCGCAUUUGAAUAUAAAAUCCAGGCCUCAAGAAAAGUAAGCCCACAUUCGGUUUUAAAUCUCAACCAGUCUUUGCCAGUAUACCGUAAUAAUACAGUUUCGUUCAGCUAGAGCAAAAGUGUCAGCAUGUUUAAAAAUCAUCAUUCUUAAAGAGACAACUGAGCCUGAGUAAAUCAAUUAUUGAACAUUACCCUUCAUUGUGAUAUCUGAUUCGAACAAGGUCAAGGGAAUUAUUAAUAACCUUCUGUUCUCUUUCACAGACACGUUUACAAAUUAGCACUUCUCACAGGCCUGGGACCUGCUUUAUGAAGCCGAGUUUUCGGAGCAGCCUGGAAGUGUGAAAGAGUUCCAGAGGGCAGAGCAUUUGGAGAAGUCUAGAUAAUGAGAGUCUUUUGUUAAUGCCAUUGAUCUCGAUUCAAUUAGUGAAAAGGGCCCAUGUUUGUGACUACUGUGUGCACAGCAUAUGUGUGUUUCUGUAUGUAAUUGACUUUGUAAGUCCUCAAAGAGUAAACUUGUAGCAGUUUCAAACAUUCAAUGUUAUUGUCAAGCACAAAUGAACAGCCAAGUAUGUGUGUCUUUUUUCUGUUUCUGAUUUUUUUUUUUUUUCUUUUUUUUCUUUAGCCAACUGAGCUGGUUUGGGGCUGAUCUUGUGUGAUGUAUAGAUUAAUUAAAUAAGCAUAUUGAUUCCUGUUCUGGCAACACAGAGUGUGGGGUUUUAAUUAGCCCACGCUUGAGUGUGUUAAAAUUCCUGUCUUAUCUGUGUGGAACCAAGUGGAACUAAAAACUGAAUGCAUGAGGGCUGCUCAUCAACUCAAAAUCUCCAAUAACCUUUUUUUCCCCCUUGUUUGUUUUAGUCCAACCCAAACCUCAAACUUUAUUGUAAGUGUAUGAUUUAUAUGCCAACAUUUUCAUUCCCAAUAUUAAUUUUUUUAUCUCCAAGGAAUACAAAAUAGUUAAGUAAAUAAUACAUAUAUAAAACAAACAAUUAUGUAUGUAUGUGUGUGUAUAUAUAUAUACAAAUAUACAAAGACUGUUUUGAGUGAUUAAUCACUCUGAUGUGGUCUUAAUUUUUAAGUUAUUUCUUUCAAAAAAUCUUAUUUGAAACUAAAAAAUAUACUAAAUAUUUUUCUGAUACAGGUUUUAAAAUAUCAAAGUUUUACUUAUAUUUCCUUGUAGUAUUUUUGGAUAUAUAAAUACAGUGAUCCAUAUGACCAUAAUACGGUGGCCAAGAAAUGCAAAACAGAUUACAAUUCUGAAAACAAAAUAACAAAUUACAAAUGCAAACCUAAAAAACAAAAUAACAAUUCAGAAAACACAACAACAAUUCAGAAAAUAUUAUAACAAGUCAGAAAACACAAUGA
ensembl:lncRNA